UCCUGCGGUAGACCACACACCGCUUGU
rnacentral:sRNA from 1 species